CCCCUUUCCACGCCGCCGCCGAACCCCUAUAUUCGUCCUUGCCGUCGCAAGGCGGCUAUGGCGAUAAACGAACGUUGUAAUAGGCCUUUCGGACCCGGGGGCGGUACCCGGCGCCUCCACCCGAGCCCAUGGCAUCCGGCCCGCAAGGCUGGCGAUCGUGGGUUCCGGCGGGGGCGAAAUAGGAUCGACGAGGGUUGAAAAGGCGAACUUUCGCUCGGCAUUGUACCGCCGUUAUCGGGCUAAACUAUAGUUGCGAAUGACAACUAUGCUCCGGUUGCCGUCGCCGCGUGAUGCGGUGAAGGUAUCGGUUUGAAGUCCUGAGGGUCUAGCAGCUCACAGGCGGGGUUCGGAGGUACCUGGCAACAGAAACCUCCACU
rnacentral:tmRNA from 1 species